AUCGCCCCGCCCCGCCCCGCGCAGGCCGCGCCGCCAUGGCCGCGCUCCACGCCAAGGCCGGGGGGCCCCCGCAGAUCCCGGACACCCGCCGGGAGCUCGCCGAGCUGGUGAAACGCAAACAGGAGCUGGCGGAGACGCUGGCAAACCUGGAGCGGCAGAUCUACGCCUUCGAGGGCAGCUACCUGGAGGACACGCAGAUGUACGGGAACAUCAUCCGCGGCUGGGAUCGGUAUCUCACCAACCAGAAGAACUCCAACAGCAAAAACGACCGGAGGAACCGCAAGUUCAAGGAGGCCGAGAGGCUCUUCAGCAAGUCCUCGGUCACCUCAGCAGCGGCUGUCAGUGCGUUAGCUGGAGUCCAGGACCAGCUCAUUGAGAAGCGGGAGCCGGGCAGUGGCACAGAGAGUGACACUUCUCCAGACUUCCACAACCAGGAGAAUGAGCCCAACCAGGAGGAUGCUGAAGAGCUAGAUGGCUCCGUGCAGGGUGUGAAGCCCCAGAAAGCUGCUUCCUCCACUUCCUCUGGGAGCCACCACAGCAGCCACAAAAAGCGAAAGAACAAAAACAGACACAGAUAUUUGGAAGAAGUUCAGGAAUAACACAAGAAACUACAUCCGUGAACAAGUCCAGAGAAACAACCUGUAAAACUGAAGUACAGCUUAAGAAAACUGCCAUUUCAAACAAAUUAUAAAAUACUCUCUCAGGCGCUUCCCUGGACAAAGCAUGGCCAACAACAUGGUGGGGUGCAGGGCAGGUGCUGGAACUGACAUAAAUCCUUUUGCUCCGGUCCAUUACCCGGACUUUAGGGACAGGAGCUGGGGGGAAGCUGCCCCCCAGCAGGUUCUGUGGCUCUGGGUUCCUUCACAUCCCCCUCUGCAGCUGUGGUGGCUGCUGCCAGGCCGGGCUGUUGGACAGAGGAGCCCUGCCCUGCUCACCUGUAGCAGCUCCUGUGUUCCCAGGCCCUGUCAAGACACUCCGAGGGGCUCGGUGAGGCAGGAACUGACUGUUUGUAAUGCUUAGCAAGGCCAGAUAGAUAAUUAAAAAAGAUAAAGAGAUAAUUAAAUUUGUCUGUAAUAAAAGCUCUGUUAAAAUUGUGAUUGCUGUUACUGACUAUCCCCUAAAUUUUGGCAGAUAAGACCAAACAAUUUUCAAGUAUAUGUAGGCUAAAAAGCCCCAGCAACAACCCAGUACCUGAUCAUGCAGCGAGGGUCUUCCAGGCCCCACAGCCCCGCAGGUGCUCCAGCCAGACCUGUGGGUCUGUCCCCUGAAGUGUCUGGCAUGAAAAAGAGAAAAAUAAAAAGAAAUAUUGGCUUUUCUCUUUAUUCAGAAGCUCUUCAGUUUGCCAGCACAACUCUGGGUUUCACUGCCCUGUUCCUGGAGAACCGUGAGGUGCUGGGAAAGGCCCCUGCAGGAGCACGGCCUCUCUGGGGUUCCCGUGUGGGGAACUGGGUCAGCACGGGGACGUUUGGCUUCAGGAGCACACAGGGCCUCACGUGUGGGCUACAGAGGCUGUGCUGUCCCCCUGCUCCCUCCCACACCACAGGAAGGCCAGGGUGGAUAUUUUCAGUGUGCUCAGCUGUUUUCACUGCUAACAAGUGUUUGAGGGAAUCCAGUGCUGUUUCCUCUUAGCAGUGCAGUCCUGGAAUGGGAUUCCAUGAUCAAUCCUUCCUGGCCAGUGUCAGCUGUGAACAGAGCUGUGUCUGGAGGCCAUACUGUGGCACUUGUAUGAGGGGGUGGGACAGUCACCAAACUGCUCAGCUCUGGCCAAAUGUCCCUGGGCUGCCAUUGCCGGGGACAGCAGCGCUGGGGGCGUGCAGGGAACAGCCCAGGGCGGGGUUGGGCACCAAGUUCUGUGUCACCUCUGCCUGAACCAGCCUUGCCUUGCCCUGGCAGCCCAGCCACCUCCCCAAAUCCCCUGCUUCCUGACCCCUCACUUUGCUUUUCCAAGCCCUCGGGUUCCUCUCCUGCCCCUGAGCUCUGCCCUCUCUGGGUCUGGCAGCUGCCCCUCUUUCAGCUCCUAAAAUCCCCUGUGUAAGCCAAACCCACCUCUCUGCUAACACCUCUUGUUCCCAGAAAUCCAGUGGGGAGGGGGACAUUAUAUCGCCAACCCGGAGUGCUUUUUGUGCCCAGCCCUGGUUAAGAUAUCUAAAGAACUUGAUGAUGUUUGAACACUGGCUUUAUUAUUUAUUUAAUUUUAUUUUUUAGCAAUCUCGCUAGGGUGGCUAAUCAACUAAUUGAUUUAAUUCAUUAGUAUAUUAAUUUCUAUUGCUUUCUUCCUUUCAAAUGCUGCCCCUCAGCCCGUCUGGCAUGUUUGAUUAUGACUUUGAGAUUGAUCUCAAGUUAAACAAAAAGCCAAGAGCUGACUACUAGAGCCAUCAGUGCUGAUGCUCCUGCGAUUUAGGUCUGUGACUCCCCACUGAGAAGCUCUGAAGCAGGAUGGCAGCUGCAGCAGGAGUGACUCACUCUAAGGGACUUGGAUGGGGGGAGGAAAUCCUGGACCAUGUACUUUGCAUCAUUUUUAAAUCACCUGAGUUGCAGGAAGACGAAGGUGAUGUAGUAGUUGUAGUAGUUCUGAAUUCCUGACUGUUCUGUGCUUCCACCUUGGUCGGGAACUUCCUGAAACGGCUGAUAUUGCUGCCCCCUGUCACCUGCAGACCCACAGAGAGGCAUUUCCUUUUCCACUGGAACUGGGGUAGGAUUCAGUGUGUCCCAUCCAUGUUGUGAGACUUAGAUUACUUUUGUUGCUGAUACUUAGCUUUGCAGGUUUGUUUCUUUUGUUUUUGUUUUGUUUUGUUGGUUUUGUUGUGCUUUUUUUAAAGCUGAAGUGUACAAGUUGACUUUGGGUUUCUUUGUUUAGUCCGUGUAGUGGAAGGUUCUUCAUUUUGUGGAGCAGCUCUUUUGAUUCUUACUCAAGCAGAGAAGAAGGUAGUUUAACCCUUUUCUCUUACUUUCAUUUUAAACACCAUCUCCCGAUAUUCCUCAGUGCAUUAGGUGCAGGAAGGGCCAGAGCUCAGAGCCAGCUCUUCUCUGUCGCUGACUUUGGGUGGGUUCUCUUUUUAAUACAAACUUCUGUCAUUUGUACAUAAACAAUAAAAGUUCAAUGUUUGUCUCUU